rnacentral:rRNA from 1 species
UACGAAGGGGGCUAGCGUUGUUCGGAUUUACUGGGCGUAAAGCGCACGUAGGCGGAUCGAUCAGUCAGGGGUGAAAUCCCAGAGCUCAGCUCUGGAACUGCCUUUGAUACUGUCGAUCUGGAGUAUGGAAGAGGUGAGUGGAAUUCCGAGUGUAGAGGUGAAAUUCGUAGAUAUUCGGAGGAACACCAGUGGCGAAGGCGGCUCACUGGUCCAUUACUGACGCUGAGGUGCGAAAGCGUGGGGAGCAAACAGG